GCCGGUGUAGCUCAGCUGGCAGAGCAGCUGUUUUGUAAACAGCAGGUCGUCGGUUCGAUCCCGUCCACCGGCUCCA
rnacentral:tRNA from 1 species